AUUGAACGCUGGCGGCAGGCCUAACACAUGCAAGUCGAACGAGUGGCGGACGGGUGAGUAAUGUCUGGGCAACCGCCUGAUGGAGGGGGAUAACUACUGGAAACGGUAGCUAAUACCGCAUACCAUCGGAUUUGCCCAGCUGGGAUUGGCUAGUAGGUGGGGUAAUGGCUCACCUAGGCGACGAUCCCUAGCUGGUCUGAGAGGAUGACCAGACACACUGGAACUGGGACACGGUCCAAACUCCUACGGAAGGCAGCAGUGGGGAAUAUUGCACAAUGGGCGCAAGCCUGAUGCAGCCAUGCGGCGUGUAUGAGGAAGGCCUUCGGGUUGUAAAGUACUUUCAGCGGGGAGGCGUUACCCGCAGAAGAAGCACCGGCUAACUCCGUGCCAGCAGCCGCGGUAAUUC
rnacentral:rRNA from 1 species